CGCUGGCGGCAGGCCUAACACAUGCAAGUCGAGCGGUAACAGAUCUAGCUUGCUAGAUGCUGACGAGCGGCGGACGGGUGAGUAAUGCAUAGGAAUCUGCCCGGUAGUGGGGGAUAACCUGGGGAAACCCAGGCUAAUACCGCAUACGUCCUACGGGAGAAAGGGGGCUUCGGCUCCCGCUAUUGGAUGAGCCUAUGUCGGAUUAGCUAGUUGGUGAGGUAAUGGCUCACCAAGGCAACGAUCCGUAGCUGGUCUGAGAGGAUGAUCAGCCACAUCGGGACUGAGACACGGCCCGAACUCCUACGGGAGGCAGCAGUGGGGAAUAUUGGACAAUGGGCGCAAGCCUGAUCCAGCCAUGCCGCGUGUGUGAAGAAGGCCCUCGGGUUGUAAAGCACUUUCAGCGAGGAAGAACGCCUAGUGGUUAAUACCCACUAGGAAAGACAUCACUCGCAGAAGAAGCACCGGCUAACUCCGUGCCAGCAGCCGCGGUAAUACGGAGGGUGCAAGCGUUAAUCGGAAUUACUGGGCGUAAAGCGCGCGUAGGUGGCUUGAUAAGCCGGUUGUGAAAGCCCCGGGCUCAACCUGGGAACGGCAUCCGGAACUGUCAAGCUAGAGUGCAGGAGAGGAAGGUAGAAUUCCCGGUGUAGCGGUGAAAUGCGUAGAGAUCGGGAGGAAUACCAGUGGCGAAGGCGGCCUUCUGGACUGACACUGACACUGAGGUGCGAAAGCGUGGGUAGCAAACAGGAUUAGAUACCCUGGUAGUCCACGCCGUAAACGAUGUCGACCAGCCGUUGGGUGCCUAGCGCACUUUGUGGCGAAGUUAACGCGAUAAGUCGACCGCCUGGGGAGUACGGCCGCAAGGU
rnacentral:rRNA from 1 species